GGUGGCUCACUGGUAGAGCAUUUGCCUUGCAUGCAUGAAGCCCUGGGUUCGAUUCCUCAGCACCA
rnacentral:tRNA from 1 species